rnacentral:rRNA from 1 species
GACGAACGCUGGCGGCGUGCUUAACACAUGCAAGUCGAACGGUGAAGCGCCUUCCUUUUUGGUGGGUGUGGAUGAGUGGCGAACGGGUGAGUAACACGUGAGUAACCUGCCCCCUUCUUCUGGAUAACCGCAUGAAAGUGUGGCUAAUACGGGAUAUUCUCGGUCUGUCGCAUGAUGGGUCUGGGAAAGAUAUUGUUUCGGUGGGGGAUGGGCUCGCGGCCUAUCAGCUUGUUGGUGGGGUGAUGGCCUACCAAGGCGGUGACGGGUAGCCGGCCUGAGAGGGUGGACGGUCACACUGGGACUGAGACACGGCCCAGACUCCUACGGGAGGCAGCAGUGGGGAAUAUUGCACAAUGGGCGCAAGCCUGAUGCAGCGACGCCGCGUGAGGGAUGGAGGCCUUCGGGUUGUGAACCUCUUUCGCCAGUGAAGCAGGCCUGCCUCGUUUGUGGGUGGGUUGACGGUAGCUGGAUAAGAAGCGCCGGCUAACUACGUG